rnacentral:rRNA from 1 species
UGGGGAAUAUUGCACAAUGGGGGAAACCCUGAUGCAGCGACGCCGCGUGAACGAAGAAGGUAUUCGUAUCGUAAAGUUCUGUCCUAUGGGAAGAUAAUGACAGUACCAUAGAAGAAAGCUCCGGCUAAAUACGUGCCAGCAGCCGCGGUAAUACGUAUGGAGCGAGCGUUGUCCGGAAUUAUUGGGCGUAAAGGGUACGCAGGCGGUUUAAUAAGUCUAAUGUUAAAGAUCGGGGCUCAACCCCGCAAAGCAUUGGAAACUGAUAAACUUGAGUAGUGGAGAGGAAAGUGGAAUUCCUAGUGUAGUGGUGAAAUACGUAGAUAUUAGGAGGAAUACCAGUAGCGAAGGCGACUUUCUGGACACAAACUGACGCUGAGGUACGAAAGCGUGGGGAGCAAACAGG